rnacentral:tRNA from 1 species
GCGGGGGUAGCCAAGUGGUCAAAGGCGCAGGAUUUAGGCUCCUGUCCGUUAGCGGUUCGCAGGUUCAAAUCCUGUCCCCUGCA